CCGAGUAGUAGGAGUCCAGCAUUCUGAGCAGUCAAGUGAUUCCUGCUACUUCUACUACUGCUGAACUCUCUCUCUGUCUUUUGCUCUCUCUCUCUCUCUCUCUCUCUCUCUCUCUUUCUCUUUUCUCUGUGGAUCCCACUCUCUUGUAUUUCGUCUCUUUCUCUACCACGUCAUGACUGCGCUACAAACUGAGACUCCCCCCUCCUAUUCAGGUUCCUUCAGAGAGUUUAAGCCAAAUCCCAGAAGCAGAAAACAAAGGAGCAUCAAAAAGAUGAACAGUGGAUGCAGAAGCGCAGCAGGUGUACAAUGGAGUGU